UCUUGGCUCUUCAGCGGGAGACUUGGAGGGUCGGCAGGACAGUUGGAAGCUCCCUGGUGGCAUUUUAAUGAAGAUUGUUAUACCUCAGAUCUCCCCCAAUGACAGCUAACCUCCCCUGCAGGGUCUGAAAUGAUCUCUAGCGCCAGCCAAGCUCACCCAUGUGAGGAGUGGGGCUGCCCUGUCUGUGGCUUUUUCCGCACACUAGGUCAGUGCUUCUCAUUUCUAGAGCAGUCUUUCCUCAGAUAUUAUGCUCUGUGAGUCUCUUUCAAUGAUUAGCAAUUGCAGUCAUGGUUUGAGAGACAGAGAUUCAUUCAGGAAGUGGAAUACACCAAGUUAUGUGCCAGUUACUGUGCUGAGGCUUGAGGACUGCAGGUACCUGAGAUCAGACUCAUCUCCAGUUUGACAAGCCCUGACAUAGUCCAGGCACCCUGAGGACAUCACAUCUCUCAGCUUUGACCAAGAGAAAACAGUGGGUUCAUUAAGUGCUUUGCCUACAACAGGAUUUCACCAUAAUGUCUGUGGACGGCUUUAUGAUUCCUGAUCCAGACUAUUCUCUGAACUGCAGAAGCCACUGAAAUGCCUCUGGAUGGGCUUCUCAUGCUCUCAUGUCCACUACCAUGGAGACUGGGAGUGGAGCAGGGGAUGCGGUUCCUUUGCAGAUUUUUUUCCAGCUGUGGCUUUCACAAACCUCAUGGAAGACUGCAAGUCUUGUCUGAUCAGCAGGCUGAAGACUUGAGCUCGUACAGUACUUAUUCAGUGGUACCGUUUGGUGUACCCAUAGCCAGAGGACUCUUUGGCUGCUCCUGGAAACCCAGAGCAGUGGCAGAGACUGAUUGAAUUAUUGGGAGGAGUUUUUACAGCCUUCAAUUAGAAAGAGCAGGUACAAAUUUGGUACCAGGAAGAAGAGCAUUGCAGCGAGAUGUCCUGGUUUUGCUGAGCCUUAACUAAGCACCCCCUGAGCUGAAGACAAGUACAGAGUUGGGUUGGCCCAGAAGGUAACGAUGCUCAGUGGUAGCAGCUUAAAACAACAAAUACAUGUUUUUUUCCACAUAGUUCCUAUGGGUCAGGAAUGUUGGAACAGCUUAGUUGGGUGGUUCUGGCUCAGCAUCUCUCAUGAGGUUGCAGUCAAACCAUUGACAGGGGCUACAGUCAUCCAAAGACUGGAAUGAGGCUGGAAGAUCCACUUCCAAGCUCAUUCAUAUCGAUCUUUGUAGAAGUGUCAGUUCCAUGUCAGAGUACUCCUCUUAUUAAAAAUGUUUUUAUUUGCUAAUUUGGAUUGGUAGUACAUUUCCAUAAAGAACAAAGGGGGUACAAGUUAAAAAAAAAAAGAAAAAUUCUCUUUCCUACUCUAUCCCCCAGAUACCCUAUUUGUCUCUGCCAAGGUACUGUGUGUUAUCAAUGUCUUACAUAUCCUCCUGGAUAUGUAUGCAUGACACAUACACAAGCAAAUACAUAUUAGUGUAAGUGUUCUUUCUCUCUUCUGUUGUUACUCAGUUUGCUGUACCUUAAUUUUUGUCACGUAACAAAAUACCUUGGCAAUCUUUCAAAUAUGUACAUAAAGAGUAUCUUCACUUUUUAUGGCUGUAUCAUAUUCCAUUACAAAGAUUAUGCUAUAAUUUAUUUAAAUAGUCACUAUUGA